AUCAUUUCUCAACCUUUUGGCUAAGAUAAAGUAUAGUGUCCAUUCUUAUCAGAUAAAGGAUACAACCUUUAUCCAAGUACAAUACAGUAAAUGGAUUUUUGGAACAGGAAGUUGGAAUAUGAGCUUGCUCCUUCCACUCCGCGCAUCAGCCCGCUAUUGCAGUACUUGCAGGAAGUGUGCACCACCA
ensembl:snRNA U2 U2 spliceosomal RNA